UGCUGGGAAUUGUAGUUUUGCAACAUCUGGAGGGCCACAGUUUGAAGACCACUGGUCUAAGGCAGCGUUCCCCAACCUGCGGCUCCUCAGCUAUUGCAAAACUACCCCUCCCUUCAUACCACGACAGCCUUUGGUUAUCGGGCAUGAUGGGAGUUGUAGUUUUACAACAGCUGAAGAGCCGCAAGUUCAGGGAUACCAAUCUAAGGGGAUGUCCUAGAAUAGAAAAACAGCAACACAUCCAUGCACAAGUUGUGUGUGUGAACUGCAAUACCAGAUACAACCCACAUACUGGGGUAGCGCUAUUUCUGAAAGAAAGCAGACAAGUGUUUCUAUCCUUGGAUAUUUCAUUUCAUUAAAACCUCACUGACUUUCCACGUGUUGAGAUUUGAGUUACAACGCCUAAAAAGCUUUUGAAAAUGUUUUUUUUUUUUUUUUUGUUUUGUUGUAUUUUUUUAUUUUUUUUAAUCUCCAGCUAUAUUUUUAAGGAAAAAAAUGUAUGGGCUGGAACGCAGCUCUAGACUCACUCAGGGACGUCUCCGAUUCAGCAACUGAUUUGUCGAAUUACAUUUUACUGUUGCUCAGCAGUGACCAGAGGCCAAUCAGCUGCCGGCGUGUAGAGUACGAGGGUUGGGCAUGGGCACAACUACCUAAUGCAUGAGCGACCAUUUUGGUUAGGAUAUACUGUGAGCAAGUGUUUCCCAACCAGGGUGCCUCCAGCUGUUGCAAAACUACAAAUCCCAGCAUGCCCGGCCAGCCAAAGGCUGUCUGGGCAUGCUGGCAGCUGUAGUUUUGCAGCAGCUGAGGGCACCCUGGUUGGCAAACACUGGUGUAAAUUUUAUGAAGAAUUAUAAUCUCUCAUUAGAAUUCUGGUGACAAAUGCCCUUGCGGACGUAAAAUGCGGAGUAGCAGAGGCUAUUUUGUCAUUCUAACCAGUAUUUAUUUUGUGCCACCUAAAAUAUAGUUUUGGCCCUCAAAAUGAUGUGCGAGAUGGGAAAAUAUAAUAAUAAUAAUAUACUGUAUAGAACAGUGGUCUGCAGGUUGAAGACCACUGGUAUAAAACAAUCAAAUAGCACGGAACAGGCCGAUAGAUUAAGUUGUGUACAGUAAGGCAGGUGUUAAAUCACUUAAGCCAUGGGGGUUAAUUUAUCAAGGCCUGUGUAGAAGAGCGGUGUGGUUGCCCUUAGCAACCAAUCAGAUGGCUUCUUCUGAAUAUUGAAAGAAGCGAUCUGAUUGGUUGCUAUGUGCAACCAGUUGCGAUAAAUCUCCCCCAUGGUCUCUAGUCGUUGCAAAACUACAACUCUCCCAAUCUGGGCAUUCUGGGAGUUGUAGUACCACAACUGCUCAAGAGCCAUAGGUUCAGUGCUAAAAAGGAUCCUCUGAACACAACAGAUCUCUGGGAUUGUAGCGCCGGUUCCUGCAUCACUUGCUUUGUAUAAAUGUAAUGAUAAUGCUGCUUAGAACUUUAAUGAAACUGUUAAAUACAAUAAAAUCUUCUACUGUGA